rnacentral:rRNA from 1 species
UACAAAUUGUUCAAACGUUAAUCGGAAUUACUGGGCGUAAAGCGCGCGUAGGUGUUUCGUUAAGUUGGAUGUGAAAGCCCCGGGCUCAACCUGGGAACUGCAUCCAAAACUGGCGAGCUAGAGUACGGUAGAGGGUGGUGGAAUUUCCUGUGUAGCGGUGAAAUGCGUAGAUAUAGGAAGGAACACCAGUGGCGAAGGCGACCACCUGGACUGAUACUGACACUGAGGUGCGAAAGCGUGGGGAGCAAACAGGAUUAGAUACCCCCGUAGUCC